rnacentral:rRNA from 1 species
UACGGAGGGUGCGAGCGUUAAUCGGAAUUACUGGGCGUAAAGCGCACGUAGGCGGUCAGGCAAGUCGGGUGUGAAAGCCCUGGGCUCAACCUGGGAAUUGCAUUCGAAACUAUCUGACUCGAGUAUGGGAGAGGGUAGCGGAAUUUCCGGUGUAGCGGUGAAAUGCGUAGAUAUCGGAAGGAACACCAGUGGCGAAGGCGGCUCCCUGGACUAAUACUGACGCUGAGGUGCGAAAGCGUGGGGAGCAAACAGG